GCCAUUCUUUGUUGUAGCUGCUUUAUCAUCUUGUUUUUCUCAACAAUUUGCUGUUCCAGCUCUCUGUUAUCCUUCUGAAGUUGAAUGACAUCUGUAGCUGUUACCUCUCCAUUCUGUUCUGUCGCACAAUUUUCUGGAAGAUGUAAGUGCUCAUUCAAGCCUCUUGCUGAUUCUUCUAGUUCUGAAACAUUUUUCUCAUGUUCUCUGGCCAAUAGGAACUCCUGUAUCUGCAGCUUCAAUUCUUCUAUUUCCUUCCUUGCUGUUUCUUCUUUCUCCACUG
rnacentral:lncRNA from 1 species